rnacentral:rRNA from 1 species
AUGAACGCUAGCUACAGGCUUAACACAUGCAAGUCGAGGGGCAGCAUGGUCUUAGCUUGCUAAGGCCGAUGGCGACCGGCGCACGGGUGAGUAACACGUAUCCAACCUGCCGUCUACUCUUGGACAGCCUUCUGAAAGGAAGAUUAAUACAAGAUGGCAUCAUGAGUUCACAUGUUCACAUGAUUAAAGGUAUUCCGGUAGACGAUGGGGAUGCGUUCCAUUAGAUAGUAGGCGGGGUAACGGCCCACCUAGUCUUCGAUGGAUAGGGGUUCUGAGAGGAAGGUCCCCCACAUUGGAACUGAGACACGGUCCAAACUCCUACGGGAGGCAGCAGUGAGGAAUAUUGGUCAAUGGGCGCAGGCCUGAACCAGCCAAGUAGCGUGAAGGAUGACUGCCCUAUGGGUUGUAAACUUCUUUUAUAAAGGAAUAAAGUCGGGUAUGUAUACCCGUUUGCAUGUACUUUAUGAAUAAGGAUCGGCUAACUCCGUGCCAGCAGCCGCGGUAAUACGGAGGAUCCGAGCGUUAUCCGGAUUUAUUGGGUUUAAAGGGAGCGUAGAUGGAUGUUUAAGUCAGUUGUGAAAGUUUGCGGCUCAACCGUAAAAUUGCAGUUGAUACUGGAUAUCUUGAGUGCAGUUGAGGCAGGCGGAAUUCGUGGUGUAGCGGUGAAAUGCUUAGAUAUCACGAAGAACUCCGAUUGCGAAGGCAGCCUGCUAAGCUGCAACUGACAUUGAGGCUCGAAAGUGUGGGUAUCAAACAGGAUUAGAUACCCUGGUAGUCCACACGGUAAACGAUGAAUACUCGCUGUUUGCGAUAUACGGCAAGCGGCCAAGCGAAAGCGUUAAGUAUUCCACCUGGGGAGUACGCCGGCAACGGUGAAACUCAAAGGAAUUGACGGGGGCCCGCACAAGCGGAGGAACAUGUGGUUUAAUUCGAUGAUACGCGAGGAACCUUACCCGGGCUCAAACGCACGACGGCGGCACGUGAAAGCGUGCUUACCUACGGGACGUUGUGCGAGGUGCUGCAUGGUUGUCGUCAGCUCGUGCCGUGAGGUGUCGGCUUAAGUGCCAUAACGAGCGCAACCCUUGUUGUCAGUUACUAACAGGUUCCGCUGAGGACUCUGACAAGACUGCCAUCGUAAGAUGUGAGGAAGGUGGGGAUGACGUCAAAUCAGCACGGCCCUUACGUCCGGGGCUACACACGUGUUACAAUGGGGGGUACAGAGGGCCGCUACCACGCGAGUGGAUGCCAAUCCCCAAAACCUCUCUCAGUUCGGACUGGAGUCUGCAACCCGACUCCACGAAGCUGGAUUCGCUAGUAAUCGCGCAUCAGCCACGGCGCGGUGGAUACGUUCCCGGGCCUUGUACACACCGCCCGUCAAGCCAUGGGAGCCGGGGGUACCUGAAGUGCGUAACCGCGAGGAGCGCCCUAGGGUAAAACUGGUGACUGGGGCU